ACACAGUCCACCAAGCCCCGGCGAGCCCCAGCUCUGGUGACCCCCAGCCCCCGCGCUCUUAGCCCUGGCGACCCCAGCCCCGGCGCCCCCACCCCCAGCCCCGGCGACCCCAUCCCUAGCGCCCCCAGCCCCGACAACCCCCAUCCCCGGCGACCCCCAUCCCCGGCGCCCCAUCCCCACCCACCACCGUCGCGCCACCUGGCCGGCGCGACCAGUACCGUCGUCGAUCCCGCGAACCAUCUCUGCUCCCGGGGCGGCUCACCACCUCCUCCCGCCGUGGGCCUCCCGCCGUCCGGCGCCUCGAACCUCCCUCCUUCUGCCGUCGCCCCCAAGCCCCCGCGAUUUCCUAGAGGUGCUCCGCUCGCUGCCGCUCGAAUUUGAACUUGCUGCUCCUUCAUCCCCGCACGACCGCUCCUCCUGCCAUCCUCGCCCACGAGCUCGUUGUGCUGCACAUGCGCCAAACAUCCUCGUCUCUGGUUUUGACUCCCUGUAACACUUGGUGCGAGAAAUAUCUCUUGUGCACUAGUGGUUGGCUGCUCCCAGCGGUAAAUGUAGUCGGAUUCAGCAGCUAGCUCUUCCUCGAGCAACCAUUUGGAGAACUUUAUUGUCUUCUUGUGGUGGUGAUUGAUUUUAGGAUCUGUAAAUUUGACGUUGGUAGCUAGCUUAUGUAUGGAACCUGCAAGUUCAAUAUUGGUAUUAGAUUCAGUUUUUGUUGUAUAAAUGUCCCAAUGUUCACAUUUAUUUGGGUAAAAUUUUAUUUUAGUUCUGCUACAGAAACCAUGCAGGUUCAGUGAUGAUGAUACCAUAAGUUCGGAAAAGAAAAUUUAUGUAUAUGAUGAGAUGAUUGCUACUUCUUCAAAGAAGGUAUAGUACAUGACAGCUUGAUGUGCAUACA